rnacentral:lncRNA from 1 species
GGGCCCAUUUCCUUCAUCCUUUCAAUAAUUAGUAUAUCUUGGUUGUUGGGUUUCGGUGGCACAGCGGAAGGGUUAGGUGUUUAAAAUUUUAUUCAAAAUACCUGUUGGGUAUAAAUACCCCCCAGCCAAAGUUCGGGUCAGGAGUGACCCUCCAGGGAUUCUACCGACGUCCGACCUUCGGCGAUAUCUUUUCGAACCCCUCCGAC